CCAUAUGCUUGUCUCAAAGAUUAAGCCAUGCAGGUCUCAGUACGGCCUCUAGCGAAAAGGCGAAACCGCGAAUGGCUCAUUAAAUCAGUUAUGGUUCCUUAGAGCUUACGUUGUCUUACUUGGAUAACCGUGGUAAUUCUAGAGCUAAUACAUGCACCGAAGCUCCGACCCUCGGGAACGAGCGCUUUUAUUAGACCGCAACGACCGUAUCCGCCGCGCCUUCUUUCCGCGAGGGAGAUGCGCGGACGUGUUUGCGUGGUGACUCUGGAUAACUUAGCCGAUCGGCCGUCGCACCCCUUUAGCGGGGGUUUAAACAACGGCCGACGCACCUUUCAAGUGUCUGCCUUAUCAACUGUCGACGGUAGGUUAAAUGCCUACCGUGGUAGUAACGGGUGACGGGGAAUCAGGGUUCGAUUCCGGAGAGGAAGCCUGAGAAACGGCUACCACAUCCAAGGAAGGCAGCAGGCUCGCAAAUUACCCACUCCCGGCACGGGGAGGUAGUGACGAAAAAUCACGAUGCGGGACUCGGUCGAGACCCCGCCAUCGGAAUGAGUACACUCUAAAUCCUUUAACGAGGAUCGACCGGAGGGCAAGUCUGGUGCCAGCAGCUGCGGUAAUUCCAGCUCCGGUAGCAUAUGCUAAAGUUGCUGCGGUUAAAAAGCUCGUAGUUGGAUCUCAGUCUCGGCCGCUCGGUCUCGCCCGUGUUGGCGGGUCUCGUCGCGGCCGGUCAGAAUGUCGGCCGCCCGGGAUGAUCUUGACCGGUUGUCUCGGAACGGCCGGCGAGUUUACUUUGAAAAAAUCAGAGUGCUCAGAGCGGGCGUUAUCCGCCCGAACGCCCGUGCAUGGAAUAAUGGAAGAGGACCUCGGUUCCAGUCUGUUGGUCCACGAACCCUGAGGUAAUGAUUAAGAGGAACGGCCGGGGGCGAUCGUACCGCGACGCUAGAGGUGAAAUUCUUGGACCGUCGCGUGACGCACCACAGCGAAAGCAUUCGUCAAGAACGCUUCCGUUAAUCAAGAACGAAAGUCAGAGGUUCGAAGGCGAUCAGAUACCGCCCUAGUUCUGACCAUAAACGAUGCCGACCAGCGAUCGGGCUGCGCUCGCCACGACGAGGCGCCCGGAAGCUUUCCGGGAAACCAGAGUCUCUGGGUUCCGGGGGAAGUAUGGUUGCAAAGCUGAAACUUAAAGGAAUUGACGGAAGGGCACCACCAGGAAUGGAGCCUGCGGCUUAAUUUGACUCAACACGGGAAAACUCACCCGGCCCGGACACGGGAAGGAUUGACAGACUGAUUGCUCUUUCUUGAUUCUGUGGGUGGUGGUGCAUGGCCGUUCUUAGAUGUCCGGGGCCGCACGCGCGCUACACUGACGCCCACAGCGUGCGCGCUCGCCCGGUCCGACAGGACCGGGGAACCCCUUCAACGGACGUCGUGAUGGGGACAGGGGAUUGGAAUUGUUCCCCUCGAACGAGGAAUUCCCAGUAAGCGCGAGUCACUAGCUCGCGUUGAUUACGUCCCUGCCCUUUGUACACACCGCCCGUCGCUACUACCGAUUGAACGGUUCGGUGAGGUCCUCGGACUGGCUUACGCUGGCGGGACCCUUUGCGUGUCCGGCCCCUCCGCGGGUCGGCGCGUUAAUUCCCGAUGCGGUAGCCGGAAAGUCGAUCGAACCGUAUCGUUUAGAGGAAGUAAAAGUCGUAACAAGGUUUCC
rnacentral:rRNA from 1 species